ACACAUGCAAGUCGAACGGGAUCCAAGUAGUAGCAAUACUACGGAAGAUCUAGUGGCGAACGGGUGAGUAACACGUGAGGAACCUACCCCGGACUCAGGGAUAACAGACGGAAACAUCUGCUAAUACCUGAUGCCGUCGGAGCAUCACAUGGUGCACUGACGAAAGAAUCUCGGUUCGGGAGGGCCUCGCGGCCUAUCAGCUUGUUGGUGGGGUAACGGCCUACCAAGGCGUCGACGGGUAGCUGGUCUGAGAGGAUGAUCAGCCACACUGGGACUGAGACACGGCCCAGACUCCUACGGGAGGCAGCAGUGGGGAAUCUUGCGCAAUGGGCGAAAGCCUGACGCAGCAACGCCGCGUGCGGGAUGAAGGCCCUAGGGUUGUAAACCGCUUUCAGUAGGAACGAAAAUGACGGUACCUGCAGAAGAAGGUGCGGCCAACUACGUGCCAGCAGCCGCGGUGACACGUAGGCACCAAGCGUUGUCCGGAUUUAUUGGGCGUAAAAAGCUCGUAGGCGGUUUAGUAAGUCGGGUGUGAAAACUCUGGGCUUAACCCA
rnacentral:rRNA from 1 species